AGAAAGGUUUGAAAUUACAAAUACCAGGCAGAAACCAACAGAGAUAGUUAACUUAAUUAUAUGGGUUUUAUUCAGGUUUAUAUCCAGCAACAGAGGCUGCGAAUAGCAGGGAGAGACAACACCAGAGAGUAUCUGACUUUGGAAGAAAACAAGAAGGAGAGCCACAAAUGGAAAUGGUCAGGUUUCAGAAGAACUGCAAGGAGAGAAGGAAGACUUGCGGGCCAAGGUUUCACAGACGACAAAGCAAGAUGUUCCAGAGCCAAGGUAUCCUGCUUGCAACUGGAUUCCCCCUCACUUUCAAGGAAUACUUCUACAGAGAAUUGUGAUGAACAGGAAAAAAUACAUUUAAUAAUUAUGUAACAGCUUGUGCUUACUACCAGAAGUGGACAAUUACUGUGUGGAAAUUCCCCAUCUUGACCUUUACAAGGUGAAAAGUGCAGGCGCUACAGGGAGGUACAGCAGCAGGAGGAAGGAGAGUACCAAAUGUCAUUGUGCUGGCUACGGAUUUAUGUAACUAGAUACAUCUGGAGGAAAGGAUUAACUCAAAGUCAUGAUACAGCCUGAAUCAACAUUGUUUAGUGAAACUACAAGGAUAACUCAGUUUAUAAAUGACUAUGUUUGCCGUACAAAGGACAACUGACUCAUCAAGGCAAAUACGCAUCAGGUGGAGCCUUAAAAAAGCAGCAGAAUGCACAAAAAUACCUGAAAAAAAGACAAGACUGAAUUGUUUUACACUUUAUGAAAGUUUGUUUCUAUUAUCUGGAUUAUAUAGCAGAAAUAAUUUCCAUUCUAUAAUGUUUUUUAAUUGGGAGUCAACUUUAACGUCUAAUUUAAAGUGCUGCAGUAAGGAAGCAAGGGUUGAAAAGAGGUGCUGGCUACUAUCCAGUGUUGCAUUUUACAGUCAGUAAAAUGUGCGUGCAGUGCCUUCAAAACAGAUGAUCUCACCAUUCCCUAGCCCUCAAAAAUCUUUGUUCCCACCCUAGUGCUGCCUCCCCUUUUUAUCUGUAAUUGAUGCAGGCACAUGGUGAUUUGUACCAGGAAACAGAUAUAAUAAAAAGGGGAUUGUAAUUACAAACUGACAGCGUCAUCUACUAGAAAAAUUGCCACAGCAUAUUCCUGUAAAUCUGCCAAGUCAAUAAUAUUCAUGAUGAUCUGCUAAGUAAUUGCUAGCUGUGAGGGCUGAAGUUGCCUGAGGCUACUGGAAGUCACAUAUUUAGUUUUCCAGAAUGUCAGAACACUUCGGGAACUAAAUGAGUACAAAAUCAUUCCUUUGACUUCUGCUUUUUCCCUUCUCUUCUCUCCCUCAAGAUACUUGUGCCUCGUCCACACAAACCAGUCCCUUCCCAAGACAUGUAAGGAAUGCCUAGAUGGAAUUAUAAACGUUAGGAGGUUUGAAAAAAUAAAGGAAUACUUUAUCAGCAUUUUCUUAUUUUAAUCAUACGACUAAGAGUUAGAUAGAGUUAGUCAUAAGCAAAACAGUCACAGUUCUUAAAGCUAAAUAACAAAGUGGAACAGUAUUUUUUUUUUUAAUUAUAAAUAAAGACCAGAAUGCAUUUAAAUUUUUGUAUUUUUGUCACAUAAAUCUUAGGCCUUCUCCUGUGUUUAACAAUGCCCCUUAUUUUGCUAUUUGCUCUAAAUCACAUAUGGGAUAUGGUCCAAAACCUAACAAUUUGCACAUAGUAACUGUUACAGUAUGUUAUAAAUAGAGAACAACAAUCUCGUUUUCUCUUUCAACCAUUGCUGAAUAUUAACUAUACACUAGAACAGGAAAGUUUAUAAAAUAAUAUCCAGACUGGGUCUAACAGCUGCAGUAAUGAGAAGAGCACAGACUCACUCCCACCUGGAGACUUAAAAUAAUUCAAGCUUUUUAACAAGUAAAACACGAGUUGGGCAGCUUUUAACACAGGUUCAUCCCAGUGGCCUUUGCUCUUAGCUUUGUCCUGGCCUUCGUGCUCUGUCUUCACCUUCUCUUGCAUUUAUUUCUCCUCUCCAUCCUCUCAGUUCUGCACUACAUUUCCCUACGUACAUCAAAGAGUUUAGUAAGGCAGCCUGUGAAUGCCCCAGACCUGCCGCUCCAACUUUUCCACUCAACUGCCUCUGGAGUGAGGAUUGCAGCCUCCAAAAGAGGAUGUUUCGUGGCACAGUCAGCCCUUAACGGACAGACGAUAGCAUUCAGAGGUCAGCAUUCACAGAUGGGGGACUACUUACAACACCACCAGCAACCAGGAAAUUAAAACAUGCAGGGAUUCCUGUGGCCUUCCCUUCCCUCGUGUGGAAGAAAAGUUUGGAGACAGAAGAAAGGAUUGCUCUGAUUUGUGGGCUUGGAUUCUUUUUUUCUUUCUGUUUUUAGCAGUCUUGAAAGAAAAGAGUAAACAAUACAUACAUCUUGACAGAAAUAUCCAAAAUAAGAACAAAGACAUAGUCCCUUCCUAAAAUAUUACAACACAGGAGUUCAGAGUAAUGAAGAAAUAAAACAGGAUUCACUAGCAUCCAGCACAAUCUUGCAUUUAAAUGAUGUUUCCGGUUGGAAUAAAACUGUAAACUCAACAGUUAAUGCUGUAAUCUUGUAUAAAGACACUUAUAAUUAAAAAUAAAUUUAAUUUAAAAGUAUCUCAAUGAAUAAAGAGGCUCAAUACAAGAAAAAGUUUAUUAAAGUUCAUAUAUCUAGAAGAGUAUUUCUUUUGGGCAGUGAAGAAGCUAUUUUGUUGCUUAGAGUGUAGUUAUACAUUUCCUAUGCCAAAA